GACGAAGGAUCCAAGCGUUAUCCGGAUUCAUUGGGUUUAAAGGGAGCGUAGGCGGGUUUAUAAGUCAGUGGUGAAAGCCGAUCGCUUAACGAUCGAACUGCCAUUGAUACUGUAGACCUAGAGUACAGAUGAUGUUGGCGGAAUAUGACAUGUAGCGGUGAAAUGCAUAGAUAUGUCAUAGAACACCGAUUGCGAAGGCAGCUGACAAAACUGUAACUGACGCUGAGGCUCGAAAGUGCGGGGAUCAAACAGG
rnacentral:rRNA from 1 species